rnacentral:rRNA from 1 species
UACGUAGGGGGCGAGCGUUGUCCGGAAUUAUUGGGCGUAAAGAGCUCGUAGGCGGUCUGUUGCGUCGGCUGUGAAAACCCGAGGCUCAACCUAGGGCCUGCAGCCGAUACGGGCAGACUAGAGUUCGGCAGGGGAGACUGGAAUUCCUGGUGUAGCGGUGAAAUGCGCAGAUAUCAGGAGGAACACCGGUGGCGAAGGCGGGUCUCUGGGCCGAUACUGACGCUGAGGAGCGAAAGCGUGGGGAGCGAACAGG